rnacentral:rRNA from 2 species
GGUUGGUCAUGCCUCUGGUAUGUACUGGCCUCACUGAUUCCUCCUUCCUGAUGAACCGUAAUGCCAUUAAUUUGGUGUUGCGGGGAAUUUGGACUGUUACUUUGAAAAAAUUAGAGUGUUUAAAGCAAGCUAACGCUUGAAUACAUUAGCAUGGAAUAAUGAAAUAGGACGUUCGAUCCUAUUUUGUUGGUUUCUAGGAUUGACGUAAUGAUUAAUAGGGACAGUCGGGGGCAUCAGUAUUCAAUUGUCAGAGGUGAAAUUCUUGGAUUAAUUGAAGACUAACUACUGCGAAAGCAUUUGCCAAGGAUGUUUUCAUUAAUCAGUGAACGAAAGUUAGGGGAUCGAAGACGAUCAGAUACCGUCGUAGUCUUAACCAUAAACUAUGCCGACUAGGGAUCGGACGGUGUUAUUUUUGACCCGUUCGGCGCCUUACGGGAAAC